AUCACCAUGCCUACCAACCGGUCACUCCAAGCUUUUCUUAAUUUUCAACUUCCCAAGUGUUGCUCUGCCAUUGGCGGUAACUUGGCCAAACCUAAUUUCACGAAUCCCUUGCGGAACCUUGCACAUCAAGUAAGCUACAGGUUAGGGGCUAUAUGUAAAUAAGCCAUCCCGAAACUAUCCCUAUCUCCUUCACACCUCAAUCCCUGUUUCUACUCUGUCCAUUCAGCAAUGGAAAUUGCAGUCUCCACUAGUCCCAAUUACAAUCCAGAAAGACACCUCCCGCCUUCACGGGAUCAGAUGGGAGCAGAUCAAGGAGAUAGUGGUGGUCGUCGCGGUAGCUCCACCUCUUCAACUCUUCCUGAACCCUCUACCAAGUACUAGCUACACUUGAUAUGGGAGUUGACGGAAAGGGAGAAAGGGAGAAAGGGAGAUGGGGAGACAGGGAGAAAGGGAGAAAGACGAUCGGCUGGUAAACUUUUAAGAAGUUUGUAUUUCCAUUUAUGCAGAAAAAGUUGUAGUAUUUUUGCUUUUGCAUGCUUCGUUUAGAGACUGGAAUGGAUCAGUGGGUAUGAGAUUGAAUGGAUCUUGAUUUCUUGAUUUCUUUUUAA